UGGUGGCCAUUUCAUAG
rnacentral:misc_RNA from 1 species